rnacentral:rRNA from 1 species
UACGGGGGGGGCAAGCGUUGUUCGGAAUUACUGGGCGUAAAGGGCUCGUAGGCGGCCAACUAAGUCAUACGUGAAAUCCCUCGGCUUAACCGGGGAACUGCGUCUGAUACUGGAAGGCUUGAAUCCGGGAGAGGGAUGCGGAAUUCCAGGUGUAGCGGUGAAAUGCGUAGAUAUCUGGAGGAACACCGGUGGCGAAGGCGGCAUCCUGGACCGGUAUUGACGCUGAGGCGCGAAAGCCAGGGGAGCAAACGGG